rnacentral:rRNA from 1 species
AUUGAACGCUGGCGGCAUGCUUUACACAUGCAAGUCGAACGGUAACAGGUUAAGCUGACGAGUGGCGAACGGGUGAGUAAUGCAUCGGAACGUGCCCGAUCGUGGGGGAUAACGCAGCGAAAGCUGCGCUAAUACCGCAUACGAUCUGAGGAUGAAAGCGGGGGACCGUAAGGCCUCGCGCGAUCGGAGCGGCCGAUGUCAGAUUAGGUAGUUGGUGGGGUAAAGGCCCACCAAGCCGACGAUCUGUAGCUGGUCUGAGAGGACGACCAGCCACACUGGGACUGAGACACGGGCCAGACUCCUACGGGAGGCAGCAGUGGGGAAUUGUGGACAAUGGGCGAAAGCCUGAUCCAGCAAUGCCGCGUGCAGGAAGAAGGCCUUCGGGUUGUAAACUGCUUUUGUACGGAGCGAAAAGGUCCUUUCUAAUACAAGGGGCUCAUGACGGUACCGUAAGAAUAAGCACCGGCUAACUACGUGCCAGCAGCCGCAGUAA